GCGGCCGCAGGCCACAUGUGGCCCAGAAGCAACCUCUGAGUGGCCUGGGCAGGGAUUGGUACUGAGACCCGGUAUUAAGCGGCCCGGGGCAAAUUUAAUCGAGACCGCAGUAAUAAUAAUAAGCUCCGCUGCUGCAGGCUCUUAUCGUUACUUUUUAAAGAUUCAAUUUCGUGUAUCAUCAUGCUGCAGCCUCUCUCGUGGUAUGCGUGUCAGGGCUGACCUCCUCCUCACAGCACACACACUUAGACACACACACAGGGAGACACAAACACAACAGAGUGAAGUCAGACAACAGCAGAGAAGCCGUGGUGCAGCCAAAGGGAAUAUAACUGUGUGUGUGUGUGUAUAUACACGCUAAAAAAAAAAAAGUGGACAGGUUGCUCGCUGCAGAAAAUGUGGCCCAUCGACAUUUUCUGGCUUAAAAAUCCGGCCCAGUUAAAUGUGUAAUUGAAUAGCCCUGCUGAGAAAUACUGAGCACUCUGUAGCACUACGUCUCAGUGAAAGGGCGAAGCUGAAGACUUUGAAGCCCUUUCUACCAAGUAAGUACAACUUUUCUACUGUAACAGUGCUGAAUCUUUAUUUUAUUAAGUAAUUCUCGAUAUUAAACUCCUUGUAGUUUAUUUUUUAUCAUGUGGGAUACAGCCUUUUUUAACGGUUAAGGACGAGUUGAUUUAUCAAAAAUACGAAGUUUAUAAAUUAGUAAUGAAAGUAAUCAUUAUACACACUUUGCUAAUGCUUUGUGAGAGCAUUGUGUUUGCGUUCCAGAGCCAGCUGAAGUUCAGGAAAAAGGAUCAAUGAGCAUGAGGUCGAUGAGCAACACAGACGAGCAGCUUUAGCACCAUCUAAAGUCUGGUGCUCCCUGUUUGCAGUCAGUGUUGAGGAAGGAGUCUCUAUGACCUGCAAAGACACACCCCUCCGUCAGCGCAGUCACAUGGAGGUGUUGCAGUGGCUGCUGGGAAAACAGGGUGGUGUAUGGAGGAAGAGGAGGACAACGACAUGGAGGAGGAGGUGGUUGGAGGAGGAGGUGGUUGGAUUUAGGAUGGAUGGAGAGGAAUGCAGCACAACACAAGAGAGAACAUAGAAACAAAAAAAAAAAAUAAACGUCUGAGCUCCUGUAAAUACUCACUCUGAUCCUGAUGAGUCACCAUCCACCGUCCCCGCCUUGAUGCUCAUGGCGACACCGUUCAGCUGAUCUGGCGGGCCGAGUUUAGCCGGGCCGGCU